AGAGUUUGAUCAUGGCUCAGGACGAACGCUGGCGGCGUGCUUAACACAUGCAAGUCGAACGGAAAGGCCCUUCGGGGUACUCGAGUGGCGAACGGGUGAGUAACACGUGGGUGAUCUGCCCUGCACUUUGGGAUAAGCCUGGGAAACUGGGUCUAAUACCGGAUAUACCUCAUGGACUGCAUGGUUUGUGGGGGAAAGCUUUUGCGGUGUGGGAUGGGCCCGCGGCCUAUCAGCUUGUUGGUGAGGUUAUGGCUCACCAAGGCGACGACGGGUAGCCGGCCUGAGAGGGUGACCGGCCACACUGGGACUGAGAUACGGCCCAGACUCCUACGGGAGGCAGCAGUGGGGAAUAUUGCACAAUGGGCGCAAGCCUGAUGCAGCGACGCCGCGUGAGGGAUGACGGCCUUCGGGUUGUAAACCUCUUUCAGCAGGGACGAAGCGAAAGUGACGGUACCUGUAGAAGAAGGACCGGCCAACUACGUGCCAGCAGCCGCGGUAAUACGUAGGGUCCGAGCGUUGUCCGGAAUUACUGGGCGUAAAGAGCUCGUAGGUGGUUUGUCGCGUUGUUCGUGAAAACUCACAGCUCAACUGUGGGCGUGCGGGCGAUACGGGCAGACUUGAGUACUGCAGGGGAGACUGGAAUUCCUGGUGUAGCGGUGGAAUGCGCAGAUAUCAGGAGGAACACCGGUGGCGAAGGCGGGUCUCUGGGCAGUAACUGACGCUGAGGAGCGAAAGCGUGGGGAGCGAACAGGAUUAGAUACCCUAGUAGUCC
rnacentral:rRNA from 1 species